CUGCAGAUUGGCCCAACAUUUCUCUCAUCCCAAAUAUCAAUAUAGAUGGACGUAAUAUUCAACAGCAGGGACGCUAUUUGCUGUAUGAAGAUGAGGCUUCCACAGAGGUACAACCGUAGAAGGAUGAUUCUACUAAGCUUUGACCAUCCAUCCGGCGAUAGAACAUAUUGCUAGCUCCAAUACUGGAAUUAUAUGUUGCUCUUGCAAAUGGCAAAUUUAUUACUUUCAAAUUUUAGAAAGGGAAUAGAGGCAAAUUAUGUCUGUCCUGCAACAGAUGAUAUAUGGAAGUUGUAAUUGACCUUAGGGAUCUAUUUAUCCGCCAUAAUUCAGGAAUGAAGCGAUUUUGAACUUUAAGCUUAUCUUGAACCUAUUUCCUUUUUCUAUUAUUACAAAGGGUCAGCAAGUUUGGUUCUGUUCUAUAUGCAGGGCUGGAAGGAUGUUAAAUUGAAUUAACCUAUGGAUGUAGGGCUGUAGAAACAAUUUUGCAUUUUCAGAAGCAAUGAGAAUGUGCAUUCUGUCUCUAAAUUCUGUUAACUGCUCUUCCACUUACAUUGCCACAUCUCUACACCUUUGAGAAGGUAGCAACUACAGAGUGCAUUGUUUCUCAAUUGAUGAUGAUGUAGCACAACUAACUACAUUGUCAUGUUCCCCUGGUCACUUAGGCAAUGCAACAUGGAGCAAGGUGUGAGAUCAAAGUGACAGAUCCUGGAACCUGGAGAAGUUCCUUUGGGUGAAUGAGGCUAAAAUUCUUAAAUAUUUUGAAGGCACAGAGCAAGUGUGCAGUUU
rnacentral:misc_RNA from 1 species